rnacentral:rRNA from 1 species
CUCGUAGGCUGUUCGGUCAGUCAGAUGUGAAAGCCCUCGGCUUAACCGGGGAACUGCAUUUGAUACUGCCAGACUUGAGUGUCGGAGAGGGUGGCGGAAUUCCGGGUGUAGGAGUGAAAUCCGUAGAUAUCCGGAGGAACACCAGUGGCGAAGGCGGCCACCUGGACGACAACUGACGCUGAGGAGCGAAAGCGUGGGGAGCAAACAG